GAAAAGCACCCCGGGAGGGGAGUGAAAGAGAACCUGAAACCGUAUGUCUACAAACAGUCGAAGCGCGUAUAAUUGCAGCGCGACGGCGUGCCUAUUGAAGAAUGAACCGGCGAGUUACUGUUACUAGCGAGGUUAAGUGGAAAACAUGGAGCCGAAGCGAAAGCGAGUCUGAAUAGGGCGAAUAGUUAGUGAUAGUAGACCCGAAACCGUAGUGAUCUAUCCAUGGCCAGGUUGAAGCACAGGUAAAAUUGUGUGGAGGACCGAACUCGUGAGCGUUGAAAAGCUUUGGGAUGAGCUGUGGAUAGGGGUGAAAUGCCAAUCGAACACGGAGAUAGCUGGUUCUCCCCGAAAUAGCUUUAGGGCUAGCCUCAUGGAGAGAGUAUAGGCGGUAGAGCACUGAUCGGGCUAGGGCCCAUACCGGGUACCGAACCUAGUCAAACUACGAAUGGCUAUACUUAUACAUGGGAGUCAGACUAUGAGUGAUAAGGCCCAUAGUCAAGAGGGAAACAGCCCAGACCACCAACUAAGGUCCCUAAUGCUGUACUAAGUGGCGAAGGAUGUGGAAUUUCUAAAACAACCAGGAUGUUGGCUUAGAAGCAGCCACCAUUUAAAGAGUGCGUAAUAGCUCACUGGUCGAGAGACUCUGCGCCGAAAAUGUCCGGGGCUAAAGUACAGAACCGAAGUUGUGGCAAAUGCUUAAUGCAUUUGGGUAGGGGAGCGUUCUUAUUGGAUUGAAGCAGUACCGGAAGGAGCUGUGGACUGGUAAGAAGUGAGAAUGCCGGUAUGAGUAGCGAAAAGAAAGGUGAGAAUCCUUUCCACCGAAAGCCUAAGGGUUCCUGAGCAACGAUCGUCGACUCAGGGUAAGUCGGGACCUAAGCCGAGGCGGAAAAGCGUAGGCGAUGGACAACAGGUUGAAAUUCCUGUACUAGUAUGAAUUGUUUGAUCGAUGGAGUGACGCAGUAAGAUAGGUCAGCACGAGGAUGGAAAUUCGUGUUUAAGCGUGUAGGUGAAGUGGCAGGCAAAUCCACCACUUCAAAAGCUGAGGCGUGAUGAGGAGUUACUGGCGAUAGUGACGAACUGAUUGAUUCUACACUGCCGAGAAAAGCUUCUAGGUAGAGACAUACUACCCGUACCGAAACCGACACAGGUGGGCGGGGAGAGAAUCCUAAGGUGCGCGGGAAAACCCUCGUUAAGGAACUCGGCAAAAUGCCUCCGUAACUUCGGGAAAAGGAGGACUCAUGUAGUGUGAAGAGCAGUAACGCUUGGAGCAUGAAUGAGUGGCACAAGAGAGGCGCAAGCGACUGUUUACCACAAACACAGGUGCCUGCUAAAGCGAAAGCUGAUGUAUAGGUGCUGACACCUGCCCGGUGCUGGAAGGUUAAGAGGAGGGGUUAGGAGUAAUCCGAAGCUCUGAAUUGAAGCCCCAGUAAACGGCGGCCGUAACUAUAACGGUCCUAAGGUAGCGAAAUUCCUUGUCGGGUAAGUUCCGACCCGCACGAAAGGUGUAACGACUUGCGCACUGUCUCAACGAGGGACCCGGUGAAAUUGAAGUACCUGUGAAGAUGCAGGUUACCCGCGACUGGACAGAAAGACCCCAUGGAGCUUUACUGCAACCUAAGAUUGAAUUUAGUUAUUGAAUGUACAGGAUAGGUGGGAGACUUAGAAACUAGGGCGCCAGUCUUAGUGGAGUCAUUGUUGGGAUACCACCCUUUCCAUAAUUGAAUUCUAACGGGAAGACUAACACCCUUCCGGACAGUCUUAGGCGGGCAGUUUGACUGGGGCGGUCGCCUCCGAAAAUGUAACGGAGGCGCCCAAAGGUUCCCUCAGAGCGGACGGAAAUCGCUCGAAGAGUGUAAAGGCAGAAGGGAGCUUGACUGCGAGACGG
rnacentral:rRNA from 1 species